rnacentral:rRNA from 1 species
UACAGAGGGUGCAAGCGUUAAUCGGAUUUACUGGGCGUAAAGCGUGCGUAGGAGGGCAGGUAAGUCAGUGGUGAAAUCCCCGAGCUUAACUUGGGAACUGCCGUUGAUACUAUCUGUCUUGAAUAUUGUGGAGGUGAGCGGAAUAUGUCAUGUAGCGGUGAAAUGCUUAGAUAUGACAUAGAACACCAAUUGCGAAGGCAGCUCGCUACACAUAUAUUGACUCUGAGGCACGAAAGCGUGGGGAUCAAACAGG